GAGUGAACGCUGGCGGCGUGCAUAACACAUUCAAGUCGAACGGAGUUGUUUUGAUUAAUCCUUCGGGAAGCGUCAGGACAACUUAGUGGCGGACGGGUGAGUAACGCGUGAGCAACCUGCCCUUGCGUGGGGGAUAACGUUUGGAAACGACUGCUAAUACCGCAUAAAUGUUUAAUUUUGGGGGGGCAUCCCCGAAUAACCCAAAGAUUUAUUGCUGAAAGAUGGUCUCGCGUCUGAUUAGCUAGUUGGUGAGGUAACGGCUCACCAAGGCGACGAUCAGUAGCCGGACUGAGAGGUUGAACGGCCACAUUGGGACUGAGACACGGCCCAGACUCCUACGGGAGGCAGCAGUGGGGAAUAUUGCACAAUGGGCGAAAGCCUGAUGCAGCAACGCCGCGUGAGGGAAGACGGUUUUCGGAUUGUAAACCUCUGUCUUUGGUGAAGAUAAUGACGGUAGCCAAGGAGGAAGCCACGGCUAACUACGUG
rnacentral:rRNA from 1 species